UGUUGGCCUUAAGGGCCAGGGAUACGCGU
rnacentral:sRNA from 1 species